GGAAAGGUACUCAAGUGGCUCAAGAGGAUGUCUUGGAACGGCAUUAGGACGAGAAAUCGUCGCGAGGGUUCGAAUCCCUUCCUUUCCACCA
rnacentral:tRNA from 2 species